rnacentral:rRNA from 1 species
AGAGUUUGAUCCUGGCUCAGGAUGAACGCUAGCUACAGGCUUAACACAUGCAAGUCGAGGGGUAGCACGGAGGAAGCUUGCUUCCUUGGGUGACGACCGGCGCACGGGUGAGUAACGCGUAUCCGACCUACCCAUAACACGGGCACAGCCGCUCGAAAGAGUGAUUGAUUCCCGAUAUGUCAUUGGAGUAGAUUCAAUGAUGAAAGAUUUAUCGGUUAUGGAUGGGGAUGCGUAAGAUUAGGUAGUAGGCGGGGUAACGGCCCACCUAGCCGACGAUCUUUAGGGGUUCUGAGAGGAAGGUCCCCCACACUGGUACUGAGACACGGACCAGACUCCUACGGGAGGCAGCAGUGAGGAAUAUUGGUCAAUGGGCGGAAGCCUGAACCAGCCAAGUAGCGUGAAGGAUUACAGCCCUACGGGUUUUAAACUUCUUUUAUAUAAGAGUAAWGUGCACUACGUGUAGUGUAUUGCAAGUAUUAUAUGAAUAAGCAUCGGCUAACUCCGUGCCAGCAGCCGCGGUAAUACGGAGGAUGCGAGCGUUAUCCGGAUUUAUUGGGUUUAAAGGGAGCGUAGGCGGGAUAUUAAGUCAGUCGUCAAAGCCUGUGGCUCAACCACAGCCCGCGAUUGAUACUGGUAACCUUGAGUGCGGAUGAGGUGGAUGGAAUUCGUGGUGUAGCGGUGAAAUGCUUAGAUAUCACGAAGAACUCCGAUUGCGAAGGCAGUUCACUGGGCCGCAACUGACGCUGAAGCUCGAAAGUGCGGGUUUCAAACAGGAUUAGAUACCCUGGUAGUCCGCACCGAACCCCUUACUCGCUGCUGGCGAUAUACUGUCAGGCCCACGCGAAAGCAUUAAGUAUCCCACC